rnacentral:rRNA from 1 species
AUACGGAGGGUGCGAGCGUUAAUCGGAAUUACUGGGCGUAAAGCGUACGUAGGCGGUUGGUUAAGUUAGAUGUGAAAGCCCCGGGCUUAACCUGGGAACUGCAUUUAAAACUGGCGAACUAGAGUUGAGUAGAGGGGAGUGGAAUUUCAGGUGUAGCGGUGAAAUGCGUAGAGAUCUGAAGGAACACCAGUGGCGAAGGCGACUCCCUGGACUCGAACUGACGCUGAGGUACGAAAGCGUGGGUAGCAAACGGGAUUAGAUACCCCGGUAGUCC